UAAACGUCCCAGUUCGGACUGUAGUCUGCAACCCGACUACACGAAGCCGGAAUCGCUAGUAAUCGCGAAUCAGAAUGUCGCGGUGAAUACGUUCCCGGGUCUUGUACACACCGCCCGUCACACCAUGGGAGUCGGAAAUGCCCGAAGUCAGUGACCCAACCGCAAGGAGGGAGCUGCCGAAGGCAGGUCCGGUAACUGGGGUGAAGUCGUAACAAGGUAUC
rnacentral:rRNA from 1 species